rnacentral:rRNA from 1 species
AUAACCUAGUGGCGCACGGGUGAGUAGCACGUGGGCAACCUACCCUUAGGAGGGGGACAACUCCGGGAAACCGGGGCUAAUACCGCGUAAGACCACGGACUGGGAUGUUUGUGGUAAGAGGAGCAAUCCGCCUGGGGAUGGGCCCGCGGCCUAUCAGGUAGUUGGUGGGGUAAUGGCCCACCAAGCCGAAGACGGGUAGCCGGUCUGAGAGGAUGAACGGCCACACUGGAACUGAGACACGGUCCAGACUCCUACGGGAGGCAGCAGUGGGGAAUUUUGCGCAAUGGGGGAAACCCUGACGCAGCGACGCCGCGUGGAGGACGAAGGCCUUCGGGUUGUAAACUCCUUUUGUAGGGGAAGAUAGUGACGGUACCCUACGAAUAAGCCACGGCUAACUCUGUGCCAGCAGCCGCGGUAAGACAGAGGUGGCAAGCGUUGUUCGGAAUUACUGGGCUUAAAGGGCGCGUAGGCGGUGAGGCA